rnacentral:rRNA from 1 species
UACGGGGGGGGCAAGCGUUGUUCGGAAUUACUGGGCGUAAAGGGCUCGUAGGCGGCCAACUAAGUCGGACGUGAAAUCCCCAGGCUCAACCUGGGAACUGCAUCCGAUACUGGAUGGCUUGAAUUCGGGAGAGGGAUGCAGAAUUCCAGGUGUAGCGGUGAAAUGCGUAGAUAUCUGGAGGAACACCGGUGGCGAAGGCGGCAUUCUGGACCGAUAUUGACGCUGAGGAGCGAAAGCCAGGGGAGCAAACGGG